UACGGAGGGAGCUAGCGUUGUUCGGAAUUACUGGGCGUAAAGCGUACGUAGGCGGCUUUGUAAGUAAGAGGUGAAAGCCUGGAGCUCAACUCCAGAACUGCCUUUUAGACUGCAUCGCUUGAAUCCAGGAGAGGUGAGUGGAAUUCCGAGUGUAGAGGUGAAAUUCGUAGAUAUUCGGAAGAACACCAGUGGCGAAGGCGGCUGACUGGACAUGUAUUGACGCUGAGGUGCGAAAGCGUGGGGAGCAAACAGG
rnacentral:rRNA from 1 species